GUAGGUGAACCUGCGGAAGGAUCAUUACAGAGUAUCAUGCCCUCACGGGUAGAUCUCCACCCUUGAAUAACAUACCUUUGUUGCUUUGGCAGGACGCACUCGUGCCAGGGGCUUCGGCUGGUAAGUGCCCGCCAGAGGACCCAAAACCUUGAAUAUUAGUGUCGUCUGAGUAAAAAGUUUAAUAUUUAAAACUUUCAACAACGGAUCUCUUGGCUCUG
rnacentral:misc_RNA from 1 species